rnacentral:rRNA from 1 species
UACGUAGGGUGCGAGCGUUAAUCGGAAUUACUGGGCGUAAAGCGUGCGUAGGCGGUUCGCUGUGUCCGAUGUGAAAGCCCCGGGCUUAACCUGGGAAUGGCAUUGGAAACUGGCGGGCUUGAGUGCGGCAGAGGGGGGUGGAAUUCCGCGUGUAGCAGUGAAAUGCGUAGAGAUGUGGAGGAACACCGAUGGCGAAGGCAGCCCCCUGGGUCAAGAUUGACGCUCAUGCACGAAAGCGUGGGGAGCAAACGGG